UCCAACUUACAUUUUGUAUUGCAAACUCAGUUUUUAAAGUUAAUUCAACAAUUUAACAUUAAAAAAGUUGAGAUAACACAGAAAUGUAAGUUGAAUAGAAAUUAAGAUCAAUUUGUUACACCAAAUUAAUAUUUCAAGUUAGAACAACUAACAACUUUAAGUUGGUUAUUAGUUUUGCCAACAAAGGCUGAUGAGCAUGCGCAGUUCGAAUGCUUUAUUAUAAACAACGCCAUUUUAUUUUCUCCUGUUUCAUUUUCGAGUCCCCUUAAGCGGCUUCUGUUUAUUCCCUCAUUGUGAUCGCUCUGGUGGCAGCAAGUUAGUCAGUUAAAUUUUCCCGCCUGAUCUUAUUGUUGCCUCAGGUCAGACGUUGCCUAUUUUUUCUGCCUGACAGUGUAAGUUAAUCUCUCCGGUAGGUGCUGUUCUCUAUAUUAUAUUUACCAUAAGAGUUGAAAUAUGUUUGUUCAAAAUAUGUGCUUUUGUACGCCGUUUUAGAGUUGCCUCAGGCUGCGCCCUGUUAACGUUGGUCCGUCAUUGUUAUCACUCCGGUGGCGGCAAGCUAGUCAUUUCAGUUUUCCUGCUUCGUCUUCGAGUUGCCUGAGAAGGGUCAGACGAGAGCGACUUUUUUUUUUCUCGACAGUGCAAUCGCUCUGGCAGGUGAGAAUAAUUAACAAUAAGGUCUGAAUGGUAUUUGUUCACAAUAUGUGCUUCUGUACAGCUGCUUAGGUGGCUCCAAACUGGUCAGUUCAGUUUUCCUGCUUCAUCUUCGAGUUGCAUGAGAAGGGUCAGACGAGCGCGAGGUUUUUUUUUUCUCGACAGUGCAAUCGCUCUGGCAGCUGCUUAGGUGGCUCCAAACUCGUCAGUUCAACCUCUCCUGCUUCGUCUUCGAGAAGUCUUUAAAUCAUUCGGUGGCUUUUUUUCCCGACAGUAUCAUGAUGACUUAGGUAAGUACUGUUUUAUAUAUAUUAAGUAAAGGGAUUUAAUUAUUGUUAAGGAUAUAGAGUUUUAUUUAUUUGUAUAUAAUAUGUUCAUUUUGUACAGUUG